rnacentral:rRNA from 1 species
AUUGAACGCUGGCAGCAGGCCUAACACAUGCAAGUCGAGCGGAUGAAGGGAGCUUGCUCCUGGAUUCAGCGGCGGACGGGUGAGUAAUGCCUAUGAAUCUGCCUGGUAGUGGGGGAUAACGUCCGGAAACGGGCGCUAAUACCGCAUACGUCCUGAGGGAGAAGGUGGGGGAGCUUCGGACCUCACGCUAUCAGAUGAGCCUAGGUCGGAUUAGCUAGUUGGUGGGGUAAAGGCCUACCAAGGCGACGAUCCGUAACUGGUCUGAGAGGAUGAUCAGUCACACUGGAACUGAGACACGGUCCAGACUCCUACGGGAGGCAGCAGUGGGGAAUAUUGGACAAUGGGCGAAAGCCUGAUCCAGCCAUGCCGCGUGUGUGAAGAAGGUCUUCGGAUUGUAAAGCACUUUAAGUUGGGAGGAAGGGCAGUAAGUUAAUACCUUGCUGUAUUGACGUUACCAACAGAAUAAGCACCGGCUAACUUCGUG